CAGAAAGUAGUUUAAGUUAGAAUACCAGCUUUGGGUGUUGGUGGUGGAGC
rnacentral:tRNA from 1 species